AUUGAACGCUGGCGGCAGGCUUAACACAUGCAAGUCGAGCGGUGAGAGGUAGCUUGCUACUGAUCUUAGCGGCGGACGGGUGAGUAAUGCUUAGGAAUCUGCCUAUUAGUGGGGGACAACAUUUCGAAAGGAAUGCUAAUACCGCAUACGUCCUACGGGAGAAAGCAGGGGAUCUUCGGACCUUGCGCUAAUAGAUGAGCCUAAGUCGGAUUAGCUAGUUGGUGGGGUAAAGGCCUACCAAGGCGACGAUCUGUAGCGGGUCUGAGAGGAUGAUCAGCCACACUGGGACUGAGACACGGCCCAGACUCCUACGGGAGGCAGCAGUGGGGAAUAUUGGACAAUGGGCGGAAGCCUGAUCCAGCCAUGCCGCGUGUGAAGAAGGCCUUAUGGUUGUAAAGCACUUUAAGCGAGGAGGAGGCUACUUUAGUUAAUACCUAGAGAUAGUGGACGUUACUCGCAGAAUAAGCACCGGCUAACUCUGUGCCAGCCGCCGCAGUAAAAC
rnacentral:rRNA from 1 species